rnacentral:rRNA from 1 species
CCUACGGGCGGCAGCAGUGAGGAAUAUUGGUCAAUGGGCGAGAGCCUGAACCAGCCAAGUCGCGUGAGGGAGUACUGCCCUAUGGGUUGUAACCCUCUUUUGUCGGGGAGCAAAAGCCGGACGUGUCCGGCUGUGAGAGUACCCGAAGAAAAAGCAUCGGCUAACUCCGUGCCAGCAGCCGCGGUAAUACGGGGGAUGCGAGCGUUAUCCGGAGUUAUUGGGUUUAAAGGGUGUGCAGGGGGGUUUUUAAGUCAGCGGGCAAAUGGUGGGGGUCAACCCCAUGCAGCGGUGGACACUGGGGAUCGAGAGUGUGCGAGAGGUAUGCGGAAUGCGUGGGGUAGCGGUGA